rnacentral:lncRNA from 1 species
AUUUUAUCAUCAAAAUUCAGUAAUUUUAGAGUUGAAUAGGCUGAAUUUUAAACACCUAAAAGUUCAGUAAUUGGAGAAAGUUAAAAGAGAGGGUUGAGAGAUAAAACAAAACAGAAAAGUGAAGUCUUUCUUCCACUAUUAAAAAUCAGUGCCAGUUUGCUACUAUGUCAUUAAAGCUUCAAGCUUCUUUUCUUUGAGUGUUUGAAAACCAGAAAAUCUACUGUUCUAUCGCAUUCCUGAAUACAUUCUGUUUUUGCAUGUGAUUGCUGGUGGUGUUUCUGGUUUUAUUCCUGGGUUUCUGGUGUAUCUGUGUUGCUGUUUGGUACUUCUGAAAUUGCAACUUGUGGUCCUGAACUUGCUGUUGGUUAAAACUGUUCCAUUGGUUUUAUUCCUGGAAAGUGCAUGAGUUGAUCCAGUCCUUGCAAUUAUUAAAAGCAAAUGUAGUGGUCCUAUAUGUAGCACAUAAAAGCAGCAAUCUAGACAACUAAUCAUCAAAUAUGAGAAAUGAGAAGCAAUUUUGUUUCUUUGCUACAUAUUGUUGAGGUCUGGUCAUUCACUAAAUGACAAGAGCUAUUAUAUUAGCGGAAACCCAUCGUGCAUCAACUUUGGGCAAGAGAAGCAAGAGUUGACAUGUCCAUAUAAAUGACAAAAAUAAGUUUGUGUCAGUUGCAUUCUCUGCACAAAGAGUAUAUCCUACUUCUUUUUUAAGUGUCUUAUGGGAAAUCUGAUAAACAUGAUAGGUUAAUGCAUCCCCAACACUAUUGUUAUCUUAGAAACUGUAAGCAAUACAAAAAAUAACCACAGUGAGGACUAGAUCAAGAUGUGUGCAUGUAAAAUUCGAUUCUGCAUCAAAAAGAUUGUACCAUUUCUUCCAAUUAUUUCCUUCUCAACUAAGGCUAAAUCAUAAUAUGAGCAGUUGGAAAUAUCUAAAAAAAAAAAAGAAGGGAGAGAAUUGAUAUCCUUUCAAGUAGAAUAAGUCAUGUCCUCUUCAAUUGAAACCAAGACAGAUUCUAGGCACCUAAUUUGGAAAAUUAACAUUAGGAAAUUUCAUAACUAGGCACCUAAUUUGGAAAAUUAACAUUAGGAAAUUUCAUAACUUUAGGAGAAAGAGGCUAGAUAACGUUCUUGACAUCUAAAGUACUGAAAGAAAAUUAUUAACAGAUUGCAGUUCCAAAAAUAAGAUAUGGUUUCUUUAAUUUAGAGAGCCUAGUUUCAUAUUUCCUGUAAUUAAUACCGAGGGAAAUAUACCAUGUCCAAUGCUCCAGUAUUAAAACUUAUCUUAGUAAUUAAGGUAAUUUUUAGUUUAAUCAAAUUAAAGUUCACAGUUGGGAAGAUGAAAUCAUAGUCUGCAAUUUUAUAGCACAUGAGAGUUCUUUGAGGGAGUCAACUACUUAUCGUACCUGGAAUUAUUUCACUUCAAUCCUUUUUACCUUAAUGAGGCAAACAGAGUAGAACAACAUUAAAACAUGAUUAAUAAGAAAGUGCAAUACUUGCCUUUUUUACUGUAACGAGGCAAACAAAGUAGAAAAAUGAAAUGCUUACAUUAAAAUGCAGCAUGAAGUUAACCAUACAGCAGGCAUGAAAAUUAAGAUAACUGAUAUAAUAUGUUAAUAAUGCAUUCUUGCUAUUCAUAGUGGCAGCAACAUAAGCAAGUAAAGGAUGAAAACGAUAACCAAAUGAACAGCUCAAUUCAAGAUGCAUAUCUAUAUCUUGCCUCUAGGUGAGCCUACAAUAGUGCUAUUAUCUCCAUUUUAAUUAAAAAGGUAAAAUAUGAAGCAAAAAACAAACAAAAAUACAAAUGCAAAUAUAGAAUAACGAAACUAUAAUAAUCAAAGUAUGAAUUUAAGAUGAAGACCAUGAAGCUAAUAGCUAUUUCAGUGCUAUCAGUAUCAACAGUUGUCAUAGUCAUACAUUGGGAUAUUCCUUGUCCCUUUUGUUUAGCUUCUAACUGCAUUUAUUUUCGUUAUAUAUUUUUCACAAGUUAGCUUCUACGAUUGUUAUUCACGGCAUAUCGAUCACAAAUCGCAAAUGUCCAAUGUUCAAUCACUAAACAAACUAUUAAAAAUUAAGGUCCCUUUGAAUGUAUCAGAUAUUAAUAAAGUAUUGAUGAAUUUUUGUGUGCCUGCACAUCUAUUUCUCUUUGACCCAUAUAUUCUUUCUUUUAGGCUUUUUUAGAAUGAAAGAUCCAUCUCACAUGCAAAAUUUAUUUAACAGAGAAGAUCUUCAAUUAGUGCUGAUCCACAAAACAUAUAGCAGACUAAAUGGAAUAGUUCUGCAUAGAGUUUAAAACAAGAAAUUUUACCCUUCUCCACCAAAUCAAGCAAAAAAUAACACGUGUGGAAUUCAGCCAAAAAAUCAAAGUAAACACAAAACAAUAUAACUCCAAUGAUCGUAAAAGAGAUACAAGGAAAAUACAGAAGAGACCAACUAUACUAAAAAGUUAAGAAAAGCAAACAAACGGCAAGAAAGCUACAACACAACCAAUAGUGAAAUCGUAAAGCAGGAAAAAAGAAAACUAAAAGAAAUAUGAAAUACGCAUCACAAAUAAAGGGGAAAAAAAUAGAAGCAAAAUUCCAGUGCAACAAACAACAAAAAAAGAAAAACAAAUUAAAAAGAGAGUAAAUACUAACCUGAACAUUGUGAGACCCAACAGAGACGCUAGAGAAUUCUAGAUGAAGAAGAACGAUAAAGAAUUUGAGAGUUCGAUGAGGUGCCAGGCUGCCAGCCAAUAAAAGGACACGUCUAUUAUAAGUUAUGAAAAGUCAAA